rnacentral:rRNA from 1 species
UACGGAGGGGGGCUAGCAUUGUUCGGAAUUACUGGGCGUAAAGCGCACGUAGGCGGCUUUGUAAGUUAGAGGUGAAAGCCCGGAGCUCAACUCCGGAAUUGCCUUUAAGACUGCAUCGCUAGAAUCAUGGAGAGGUGAGUGGAAUUCCGAGUGUAGAGGUGAAAAUUCGUAGAUAUUCGGAAGAACACCAGUGGCGAAGGCGACUCACUGGACAUGUAUUGACGCUGAGGUGCGAAAGCGUGGGGAGCAAACAGG